rnacentral:rRNA from 1 species
GAUGAACGCUAGCUACAGGCUUAACACAUGCAAGUCGAGGGGAAACGAUAUUGGAAGCUUGCUUCCGAUAGGCGUCGACCGGCGCACGGGUGAGUAACGCGGCCUAAUACCUCAUGGCCUCCGAGCUUGACAUCAACCUUGGAGUAAAGAUUCAUUGCCGUGGGAUGGGGAUGCGUCUGAUUAGCUUGUUGGCGGGGCAACGGCCCACCAAGGCAACGAUCAGUAGGGGUUCUGAGAGGAAAGCCCCCACAUUGGAACUGAGACACGGUCCAAACUCCUACGGGAGGCAGCAGUGAGGAAUAUUGGUCAAUGGGCGAGAGCCUGAACCAGCCAAGUGGCGUGCAGGAUGACGGCCCUAUGGGUUGUAAACUGCUUUUAUGCGGGGAUAAAGCGGGCGACGUGUCGCCCCUUGCAGGUACCGCAUGAAUAAGGACCGGCUAAUUCCGUG